UUGACGGGAGGCAGCAGUAGGGAAUAUUGCGCAAUGGGGGAAACCCUGACGCAGCGACGCCGCGUGAGUGACGAAGGCCUUCGGGUCGUAAAGCUCUGUCAGAGGGGAAGAAACACCUCAUGGUAAAUAAUCAUGAGGAUUGACGGUACCUUCAAAGGAAGCACCGGCUAGCUCCGUGCCAGCAGCCGCGGUAAU
rnacentral:rRNA from 1 species